CUGCGUCGUCUCCCAGCUUGUAAAACGAUCACCAUCCCCAACCGCAGCCACCAGGCUGGCUCUUCACUGCUGGAGCCCUGGUGCCCUGGCCUGGCCCUUGGCGCAUGUGGGUCAGGUUUACCAAGCAGACUGGGCGUGGCCGGCGCUGGGGUGGUCUUGGUUCCUGUUUGUCUGUCCCAGCCCUGCUUGGGGUCUGGCUGGGGUCAAGGGCACCCCCCACC
rnacentral:lncRNA from 1 species